GGCACUUUGGCGGAGUGGUUAACGCGCUGGCCUGCUAUUAUCUCCUAGAUUCUAGCUGUAUAGCCAGUUCCUUCGGGAGCGUGUGUUCGAAUCACACAGGUGUCG